UGCCAGCAGCCGCGGUAAUACUGAGGGUGCGAGCGUUAAUCGGAAUUACUGGGCGUAAAGCGCGCGUAGGUGGUUUAGUAAGCUAGAUGUGAAAGCCCCGGGCUCAACCUGGGAACUGCAUUUAGAACUGCUGAACUAGAGUCUUGUAGAGGGUGGUAGAAUUUCAGGUGUAGCGGUGAAAUGCGUAGAUAUCUGAAGGAAUACCGGUGGCGAAGGCGGCCACCUGGACAAUGACUGACACUGAGGUGCGAAAGCGUGGGGAGCAAACAGGAUUAGAUA
rnacentral:rRNA from 1 species